rnacentral:rRNA from 1 species
AUGCGUAGGUUAAUGGAGAUUAAUCUUUCGGAUGCCAAUGACACGAUAAGUUGGAAGUUAACGGGGUCAGGUGUUUUCACGGUUAAAUCAAUGUAUACGGAUUUAAUCAAUACUGGAGACAUCCCAAGGUCGGGCCAUAUCUGGAAAAUUAAGGUGCCAUUGAAAAUAAAAGUGUUUAUGUGGUUUGUUCACAAAGGUGUAAUCUUAACCAAAGAUAAUCUAGCCAAACGCAAUUGGGAAGGGAGUCAACGAUGUUGCUUUUGUGACCAAAAUGAAACAAUUGAACAUCUACUUAUUAAAUGUCCUAUUGCUAGAUUACUUUGGAGAACUAUUCAUGUUGCUUUUAACAUCACUCCGCCAACUUCAAUAUCACAGUUUUUUCAUGACUGGCUGAAUGGGGUGGCACCUCAGACAGCUGCACAAAUCAGAGUCGGAGCAUGUGCGUUGCUUUAG